rnacentral:rRNA from 1 species
GACGAACGCUGGCGGCGUGCUUAACACAUGCAAGUCGAACGGAAAGGCCCUGCUUUUGUGGGGGUGCUCGAGUGGCGAACGGGUGAGUAACACGUGAGUAACCUGCCCUUGACUUUGGGAUAACUUCAGGAAACUGGGGCUAAUACCGGAUAGGAGCUCCUGCUGCAUGGUGGGGGUUGGAAAGUUUCGGCGGUUGGGGAUGGACUCGCGGCUUAUCAGCUUGUUGGUGGGGUAGUGGCUUACCAAGGCUUUGACGGGUAGCCGGCCUGAGAGGGUGACCGGCCACAUUGGGACUGAGAUACGGCCCAGACUCCUACGGGAGGCAGCAGUGGGGAAUAUUGCACAAUGGGCGGAAGCCUGAUGCAGCAACGCCGCGUGCGGGAUGACGGCCUUCGGGUUGUAAACCGCUUUCGCCUGUGACGAAGCGUGAGUGACGGUAAUGGGUAAAGAAGCACCGGCUAACUACGUG